UCAGGUAGCGGUAACAGUCAAGCAGAUACAGAUGUAGGAGCUAUAGUUGGUGGUAUAGUCGGUGUUAUAUUAGUUAUUGGUAUUGUCGGUGCUGUCAUAUUCUUUAUUAAAAGGAGAGACAAAAAAGAUAUAUCGGCGACAAAAGCUGGCCAUGUUAGUAGAACGGUUCCAAAUCAACGAUAUCAAACUGACUCGGCUUUACCUAGAAACACAACCCCUCAUUAUUCAGAUAUCGAGUUGGACAAUACCACGCGCCCUUCACGUAAUAAUCCGCCCUCUGGUGACGAUUACCAUUAUAUAUUGGGCGAUAAUCACGUAAAACAAACUGACCAUUAUAAUUAUAUUGGACAGAAAGCUGUGACGUCUGAUAUUAAUUUGAAGCAUAUUGGCGAGGAUAACUACCAUCAUAUUGGAGAGAACCAAUUAAAUACCGUUACUGACGAUGCCUACAACCAUAUUGGUGAACAUGAUAAAACUGGACUGGAUAGUGGUGGCUACCAUCAUAUUGGUGGUAAUCUCGGACGUCAAGAGAUAACGGACGUCACAUACAAUCAUAUUGGUGGUAGUCAGGGACACCCAGCUGUAGCCGAUGGUACUUACAACCAUAUUGGUGAUAGUAAUGGACAUCCAGCUAUGGCGGAUGGUACAUACAACCAUAUUGGUGAUAGUCAUGGACAUCCAGUCGUGGCGGAUGGAACAUACAACCAUAUUGAAGGGUAUCAUAGCAAUGAUAAACAAGAAGGGGAUUAUUCAUUGGCUAAACAUAAUUAAUAUAAAUAUAUCACUGGGUACUAAACAUCAUUAAUAUAAUAUAAAUAUAUAAAUCCUGGAUACUUAACAUAAUUAAUAUUAUAUAAAUAUAUAAAUAAUAUUAUAUAUAAUAUAAAUAAACCACUGGGUACUAAACAUAAUUAAUAUAUUAUAGAUAAAUAAAUCCUGGAUACUAAACAAAAAAAAUAUAAUAUAAAUUUAAAUAUAUAUUUAAUGUCUCAUAUCCCUGUCCUUGUUGGACUAGUCACAUGGGCUUAAACACAGUAACCUCAACUUCAUAUAAAACAAAUUGGUGGAUUUUUUAAAGUGAGAG